rnacentral:rRNA from 1 species
GAUGAAGAUCUUGGUGACUGAGUGGCGGACGGGUGAGUAACGCGUGGGUAACCUGCCUCAUACAGGGGGAUAACAGUUAGAAAUGACUGCUAAUACCGCAUAAGACCACAGCACCGCAUGGUGCAGGGGUAAAAACUCCGGUGGUAUGAGAUGGACCCGCGUCUGAUUAGGUAGUUGGUGGGGUAACGGCCUACCAAGCCGACGAUCAGUAGCCGACCUGAGAGGGUGACCGGCCACAUUGGGACUGAGACACGGCCCAAACUCCUACGGGAGGCAGCAGUGGGGAAUAUUGCACAAUGGGGGAAACCCUGAUGCAGCGACGCCGCGUGAGCGAUGAAGUAUUUCGGUAUGUAAAGCUCUAUCAGCAGGGAAGAAAAUGACGGUACCUGACUAAGAAGCACCGGCUAAAUACGUGCCAGCAGCCGCGGUAAUACGUAUGGUGCAAGCGUUAUCCGGAUUUACUGGGUGUAAAGGGAGCGUAGACGGAGUGGCAAGUCUGAUGUGAAAACCCGGGGCUCAACCCCGGGACUGCAUUGGAAACUGUCAAUCUAGAGUACCGGAGAGGUAAGCGGAAUUCCUAGUGUAGCGGUGAAAUGCGUAGAUAUUAGGAGGACACCAGUGGCGAAGGCGGCUUACUGGA